UUCUGGGAGGAUUGACAGAUCCAGAGAUCUUUCUUGAUUCUGUGGAUUUCGGUGCAUGUCCGUUCUUAGUUGUUAAAGUGGUUUGUCUGGUUAAUUCCGAUAACAAACGAGACUCUAGUCAAUCAAAUACGUGCGUGGUCCUGUGCUACUUGCACCCUUCUUAGAAGGAGAAGCGGCUCCUAUACUUCGUCUCCUCCUUAAUAUAUAUAUAUGGCCUACUGU
rnacentral:ncRNA from 1 species